rnacentral:rRNA from 1 species
UACGUAGGGUGCGAGCGUUGUCCGGAAUUAUUGGGCGUAAAGGGCUCGUAGGCGGUUUGUCGCGUCGGGAGUGAAAACCCAGGGCUUAACCCUGGGCUGGCUUCCGAUACGGGCAGACUAGAGGUAUGCAGGGGAGAACGGAAUUCCUGGUGUAGCGGUGAAAUGCGCAGAUAUCAGGAGGAACACCGGUGGCGAAGGCGGCGACCUGGGACAAUACUGACGCUGAGGUGCGAAAGCGUGGGGAGCAAACAGG